rnacentral:rRNA from 1 species
UACGGAGGGGACUAGCGUUGUUCGGAAUUACUGGGCGUAAAGCGCACGUAGGCGGAUUUGUAAGUCAGGGGUGAAAUCCCGGGGCUCAACCUCGGAACUGCCUUUGAUACUGAGGAUCUUGAGUCCGGGAGAGGUGAGUGGAACUGCGAGUGUAGAGGUGAAAUUCGUAGAUAUUCGCAAGAACACCAGUGGCGAAGGCGGCUCACUGGCCCGAUACUGACGCUGAGGCACGAAAGCGUGGGGAGCAAACAGG